ACCCAAUAUUUUUUUACCACUAGUCUCAAUUUGUUAACGUGAAAUUUUUGCCCAUCCACUUGUUCUUCAUCUAAAGCCAUUUUGCGCAUUUCUUGGUACUUGCAUUCUAUGUAUCUUCUGGUAGUUAGAACGGUCAAGGCCGAAGAAAAAAACAUAACAAGUGAAAUAAAGAUAAAACCCGUUACUAUAAUUUCUUUGCAAACUAUUAGGAGAACACCAUCAAAAUACACUGUGAUAAGGUGGACAUAAACAUUGCCAAUGACUGUAAUUAUCAUAAUACCUAAAGCAGCUAGGUUUAGUACCAUCUCAUUAUCGUCCAUGGAUCCCAAAGAUGUCAUAAAACUUGCCAUUGCAGUUGACAUCAAAACGAGGCUACUAACCCAUGCAAGAAUGUCAAGAGGCCCCGCCAUACAACCAGUAAGAUCGACUGGUAGUUUCAAUGUGACAGCUAAUAGUGUCAAAGACAUGGCAUUGAAACAGAAGUACUUACAUAGGAACCACAACAUUUUACUACGAAAACCAUGGAAAGUGUCAGCAGCCAUUGAAAGGGAGUAGACUACAAAAGUUGCUGCAAUAUACAUGCCAAUCCAUGGCAUUGGGGAAUCCAAUUUGUUUUGCAAAACUUUCAUUACAUCUUGGUCGCAUACAUCCUUGCAUUCACUCUGAUUGUAAAUUCCCAUACCGCAUUGAAAUGAAUCCAUGAACUUGUCUCUGAAAUUCUUUUCUAUUUCUCUCCCAAGAGUUUCUCCUAUCCAUUCUAUGGAUUGCCAUCUUAUUGAAAUGUCAAGUUGAAAGACUUCCUUUCUAUGUGAUAUUGGCGUCUUCUGCUGCCCCCGGGGCAUAGCCCAGUGGUGCAAAGGACAGG
rnacentral:lncRNA from 1 species